rnacentral:rRNA from 1 species
CACCUACGGGGGGCAGCAGUGGGGAAUAUUGCACAAUGGGGGAAACCCUGAUGCAGCGACGCCGCGUGAGUGAAGAAGGCCUUUGGGUCGUAAAGCUCUGUCCUAAGGGAAGAAGGAAGUGACGGUACCUUAGGAGGAAGCCCCGGCUAACUACGUGCCAGCAGCCGCGGUAAUACGUAGGGGGCAAGCGUUAUCCGGAAUUAUUGGGCGUAAAGAGUACGUAGGCGGUUCUUUAAGCGCAGGGUUUAAGGCGAUAGCUUAACUAUCGUUCGCCCUGUGAACUGGGGGACUUGAGUAUCGGAGAG